UACUUAUAAUUAGUAAUUUUUGGAAUAGUAUUAAUUAUGAAAUUUAACGGAUUUGGCGGCAAGAUAGCUAUUUAGAGGAACCUGCCCUGUAAACGAUGAACCACGAAUAUCUUACUUUUAUUAGAUUUCAGUUUGUAUACCGCUGUUGACAGUCAGUUUCAGUAGAAAACUUUCCAUUUAUGAAAAAUUCAUAGACUUCAAGUAAAGGUGCAGCUUAUGUAAAAGAUAGAGGUGGGUUACAUUUAUUAGAUUAAAACGGAUAAAAUUUAUGAAAUAAUUUUUGAAGGUGGAUUUAAUUGUAAAGUUUAAAAAAACUUGAUUAAAGCUCUGUCUUGUGUACAC
rnacentral:rRNA from 1 species